rnacentral:tRNA from 1 species
GCCCGGGUGGGGUAGAGGGACAUCCCAAGCGGCUGCGGACCGCUAGACCCGGGUUCAAAUCCCGGCCCGGGCACCA